rnacentral:rRNA from 1 species
AGAGUUUGAUCCUGGCUCAGGAUGAACGCUGGCGGCGUGCUUAACACAUGCAAGUCGAACGGACUUUACAUGAAGCCUAGCGAUUGUAAAGUUAGUGGCGGACGGGUGAGUAACGCGUGAAUAACCUGCCUUAUACUGGGGGACAACAGUUGGAAACGACUGCUAAUACCGCAUAAGCGCACUAAAGCUGCAUGGCUCAGUGUGAAAAACUCCGGUGGUAUAAGAUGGAUUCGCGUCUGAUUAGCUAGUUGGUGAGGUAACGGCUCACCAAGGCGACGAUCAGUAGCCGGCCUGAGAGGGUGAACGGCCACAUUGGGACUGAGACACGGCCCAAACUCCUACGGGAGGCAGCAGUGGGGAAUAUUGCACAAUGGGGGAAACCCUGAUGCAGCGACGCCGCGUGAGUGAAGAAGUAUUUCGGUAUGUAAAGCUCUAUCAGCAGGGAAGAAAAUGACGGUACCUGACUAAGAAGCCCCCCGGCUAACUACGUGCCAGCAGCCGCGGU